AGACCAGGCUGGCCACGAACUCAGAAACCCGACUGCCUCUGCCUCCCAAGUGCUGAGAUUAAAGGCGUACGCCACUCGUGCGACACCAAUGCCCAGCUUAAUGGUAGAUUCAGUGAAAGAUUCAAUGCAGUAAGAAUUUAAAGUGAACGGGACUCUUACUUCUUUAAGGAGAGAUGUAUCUUCGACCUUUUCAGAAACACGCAGUAGUUUCUCAUCAGCCCUAACAACAUACACCUGUUUCUAGAAAGCUCUCUCUGCUGAUGUCACUUCCACCAAUCAACAAAACAGACAGACUUUUAAAGAAGUGUAACUGGUAUUGUUUGGGAAACAACACCAUUGUAAAUAAAUCUCUACCCACCCCAGCAUGAAGCUGCCCUGUUUGCCUGUAGAUAUUAAAGAUUCAUAUCUGA